AACGAACGCUGGCGGCGCGCCUAACACAUGCAAGUCGAACGAGAAUCCGGGGCAACCCGGUAGUAAAGUGGCAAACGGGUGAGGAAUACAUGGGUAACCUACCCUUGAGAAGGGAAUAACCCGCCGAAAGGUGAGCUAAUACCCUAUACGCUAUCUUUUUUUCGAAAAGGAUAGGAAAGCCGGGUCGAGGACCUGGUACUCAAGGAGGGGCUCAUGUCCUAUCAGCUUGUUGGUGGGGUAACGGCCUACCAAGGCUACGACGGGUAGCUGGUCUGAGAGGAUGAUCAGCCACACUGGCACUGAGAUACGGGCCAGACUCCUACGGGAGGCAGCAGUGAGGAAUAUUGCGCAAUGGGCGAAAGCCUGACGCAGCGACGCCGCGUGGGGGAUGAAGGUUUUCGGAUUGUAAACCCCUUUCAUGAGGAAGAUAAAGUGGGUAGCCACUUAGACGGUACCUCAAGAAGAAGCCACGGCUAACUUCGUG
rnacentral:rRNA from 1 species